UACGGAGGGUGCGAGCGUUGUUCGGAAUCAUUGGGCGUAAAGGGCGUGUAGGUGGUCUGCUAAGUCAUGUGUGAAAGCCCCCAGCUCAACUGGGGAAGUGCGCAUGAAACUGACAGGCUAGAGUACCGAAGAGGAAGGUGGAAUCCCGGUGUAGCGGUGAAAUGCGUAGAUAUCCGGAGGAAGACCGGUGGCGAAGGCGGCCUGCUGGGCAGUUUCUGGACACUG
rnacentral:rRNA from 1 species